GAUGAACGCUGGCGGCGUGCCUAAUACAUGCAAGUCGAGCGAACAGACGAGGAGCUUGCUCCUCUGACGUUAGCGGCGGACGGGUGAGUAACACGUGGAUAACCUACCUAUAAGACUGGGAUAACUUCGGGAAACCGGAGCUAAUACCGGAUAACAUGUUGAACCGCAUGGUUCAACAGUGAAAGACGGUUUUGCUGUCACUUAUAGAUGGAUCCGCGCCGCAUUAGCUAGUUGGUAAGGUAACGGCUUACCAAGGCAACGAUGCGUAGCCGACCUGAGAGGGUGAUCGGCCACACUGGAACUGAGACACGGUCCAGACUCCUACGGGAGGCGGCAGUAGGGAAUCUUCCGCAAUGGGCGAAAGCCUGACGGAGCAACGCCGCGUGAGUGAAGAAGGUCUUCGGAUCGUAAAACUCUGUUAUUAGGGAAGAACAAAUGUGUAAGUAACUAUGCACGUCUUGACGGUACCUAAUCAGAAAGCCACGGCUAACUACGUG
rnacentral:rRNA from 1 species